rnacentral:rRNA from 1 species
UACAGAGGGUGCGAGCGUUAAUCGGAAUUACUGGGCGUAAAGCGCGCGUAGGCGGCUUUGCAAGUCGGGUGUGAAAUCCCCAGGCUUAACCUGGGAACUGCAUUCGAGACUGCAUUGCUAGAGUAUGGGAGAGGGAAGUGGAAUUUCCGGUGUAGCGGUGAAAUGCGUAGAUAUCGGGAGGAACAUCAGUGGCGAAAGCGACUUCCUGGACCAAUACUGACGCUCAUGUGCGAAAGCGUGGGGAGCAAACAGG